rnacentral:rRNA from 1 species
AUGCAAGUCCGAGCGAGAAAACCGGGGGCAACUCGGUGAGUACAGCGGCGGAAGGGUGCGUAAUACAUGGAUAACGUACCCCCCAGUUCGGGAUAACCCUCCGAAAGGUGGGCUAAUACCGGGUAAUGGCAGCGGGUGGCAUCAUUUGCUGCUUAAAGACGCAAGUCGCUGGGGGAGCGGUCCAUGGCCUAUCAGCUAGUUGGCGGGGUAACGGCCCACCAAGGCAAUGACGGGUAGCCGGACUGAGAGGUUGAACGGCCACACGGGAACUGAGACACGGUCCCGACAUCUACGGAUGGCAGCAGUAGGGAAUCUUGCGCAAUGGGCGAAAGCCUGACGCAGCGACACCGCGUGGGGGAUGAAGGCCUUCGGGUUGUAAACCCCUUUCAUGAGGGAAGAACACUGACCUAACCUCAGGAAGAAGCACCGGCUAACUCCGUGCCAGCAGCUGCGGUAAUACGGAGAGUGCGAACGUUGUUCGGAUUCACUGGGCGUAAAGGGCACGUAGGCGGCUCGGCAAAUCGGUCGUGGAAUCCCGACGCUUACCGUCGGAACGGCGGCCGAAAAUACCGGGCUCGAGGGCGUGAGGGGUCACUGGAACUCCUGGUGAAGCGGUGAAAUGCGUAGAUAUCAGGAGGAACGCCGGAGGCGAAAGCGAGUGACUGGCGCGUUCCUGACGCUGAGGUGCGAAAGCUAGGGGAGCAAACAGGAUUAGAUACCCUGGUAGUCCUAGCCGUAAACGAUGGACACUGAGUGGGGGAGGGCUUGCCUUUCCCUGCUGCAGCUAACGCGUUAAGUGUCCCGCCUGGGGAGUACGGCCGCAAGGUUAAAACUCAAAGGAAUUGACGGGG